GAAGCGCGAACCAAGCGGGCGCAUAAGGGCGCUGUGAGGCUUGGAGCUGGCCUUGGUAACGGGGCCAUACA
rnacentral:ncRNA from 1 species